rnacentral:rRNA from 1 species
UACGUAGGGGGCUAGCGUUGUCCGGAAUCAUUGGGCGUAAAGAGCGUGUAGGCGGCUUGGUAAGUCCGCUGUGAAAGUCCAGGGCUCAACCCUGGAAAGCCAGUGGAAACUGUCAAGCUAGAGUCCGGAAGAGGCGAGUGGAACUCCUGGUGUAGCGGUGAAAUGCGCAGAUAUCAGGAAGAACACCAACGGCGAAAGCACUCUGCUGGGCCGACACUGACACUGAGAGACGAAAGCUAGGGGAGCGAAUGGG